rnacentral:rRNA from 1 species
GUCAGCAGUCAUAUACCACCAACAGGUCAGACUAGAUGAUCCACCUGAAGCUAAGCAGGUUUGGGGUCUGGCCAGUACUUGGAUCGGAAACCAACUAAGAAAGCUGGGCUGCUGCUGGAA